rnacentral:rRNA from 2 species
UUAAGCGACUAAGCGUACACGGUGGAUGCCCUGGCAGUCAGAGGCGAUGAAGGACGUGCUAAUCUGCGAUAAGCGUCGGUGAGGUGAUAUGAACCGUUAUAACCGGCGAUUUCCGAAUGGGGAAACCCAGUGUGUUUCGACACACUAUCAUUAACUGAAUCCAUAGGUUAAUGAGGCGAACCGGGGGAACUGAAACAUCUAAGUACCCCGAGGAAAAGAAAUCAACCGAGAUUCCCCCAGUAGCGGCGAGCGAACGGGGAGGAGCCCAGAGCCUGAAUCAGUGUGUGUGUUAGUGGAAGCGUCUGGAAAGGCGUGCGAUACAGGGUGACAGCCUCGUACACAAAAAUGCACAUAUUGUGAGCUCGAUGAGUAGGGCGGGACACGUGGUAUCCUGUCUGAAUAUGGGGGGACCAUCCUCCAAGGCUAAAUACUCCUGACUGACCGAUAGUGAACCAGUACCGUGAGGGAAAGGCGAAAAGAACCCCGGCGAGGGGAGUGAAAAAGAACCUGAAACCGUGUACGUACAAGCAGUGGGAGCCUCUUAAUGGGGUGACUGCGUACCUUUUGUAUAAUGGGUCAGCGACUUAUAUUCUGUAGCAAGGUUAACCGAAUAGGGGAGCCGAAGGGAAACCGAGUCUUAACUGGGCGUUAAGUUGCAGGGUAUAGACCCGAAACCCGGUGAUCUAGCCAUGGGCAGGUUGAAGGUUGGGUAACACUAACUGGAGGACCGAACCGACUAAUGUUGAAAAAUUAGCGGAUGACUUGUGGCUGGGGGUGAAAGGCCAAUCAAACCGGGAGAUAGCUGGUUCUCCCCGAAAGCUAUUUAGGUAGCGCCUCGUGAAUUCAUCUCCGGGGGUAGAGCACUGUUUCGGCAAGGGGGUCAUCCCGACUUACCAACCCGAUGCAAACUGCGAAUACCGGAGAAUGUUAUCACGGGAGACACACGGCGGGUGCUAACGUCCGUCGUGAAGAGGGAAACAACCCAGACCGCCAGCUAAGGUCCCAAAGUCAUGGUUAAGUGGGAAACGAUGUGGGAAGGCCCAGACAGCCAGGAUGUUGGCUUAGAAGCAGCCAUCAUUUAAAGAAAGCGUAAUAGCUCACUGGUCGAGUCGGCCUGCGCGGAAGAUGUAACGGGGCUAAACCAUGCACCGAAGCUGCGGCAGCGACACUAUGUGUUGUUGGGUAGGGGAGCGUUCUGUAAGCCUGUGAAGGUGGCCUGUGAGGGUUGCUGGAGGUAUCAGAAGUGCGAAUGCUGACAUAAGUAACGAUAAAGCGGGUGAAAAGCCCGCUCGCCGGAAGACCAAGGGUUCCUGUCCAACGUUAAUCGGGGCAGGGUGAGUCGACCCCUAAGGCGAGGCCGAAAGGCGUAGUCGAUGGGAAACAGGUUAAUAUUCCUGUACUUGGUGUUACUGCGAAGGGGGGACGGAGAAGGCUAUGUUGGCCGGGCGACGGUUGUCCCGGUUUAAGCGUGUAGGCUGGUUUUCCAGGCAAAUCCGGAAAACCAAGGCUGAGGCGUGAUGACGAGGCACUACGGUGCUGAAGCGACAAAUGCCCUGCUUCCAGGAAAAGCCUCUAAGCAUCAGGUAACAUCAAAUCGUACCCCAAACCGACACAGGUGGUCAGGUAGAGAAUACCAAGGCGCUUGAGAGAACUCGGGUGAAGGAACUAGGCAAAAUGGUGCCGUAACUUCGGGAGAAGGCACGCUGAUAUGUAGGUGAAGCGACUUGCUCGUGGAGCUGAAAUCAGUCGAAGAUACCAGCUGGCUGCAACUGUUUAUUAAAAACACAGCACUGUGCAAACACGAAAGUGGACGUAUACGGUGUGACGCCUGCCCGGUGCCGGAAGGUUAAUUGAUGGGGUUAGCGGUAACGCGAAGCUCUUGAUCGAAGCCCCGGUAAACGGCGGCCGUAACUAUAACGGUCCUAAGGUAGCGAAAUUCCUUGUCGGGUAAGUUCCGACCUGCACGAAUGGCGUAAUGAUGGCCAGGCUGUCUCCACCCGAGACUCAGUGAAAUUGAACUCGCUGUGAAGAUGCAGUGUACCCGCAGCAAGACGGAAAGACCCCGUGAACCUUUACUAUAGCUUGACACUGAACAUUGAGCCUUGAUGUGUAGGAUAGGUGGGAGGCUUUGAAGUGUGGACGCCAGUCUGCAUGGAGCCGACCUUGAAAUACCACCCUUUAAUGUUUGAUGUUCUAACGUUGGCCCGUAAUCCGGGUUGCGGACAGUGUCUGGUGGGUAGUUUGACUGGGGCGGUCUCCUCCUAAAGAGUAACGGAGGAGCACGAAGGUUGGCUAAUCCUGGUCGGACAUCAGGAGGUUAGUGCAAUGGCAUAAGCCAGCUUGACUGCGAGCGUGACGGCGCGAGCAGGUGCGAAAGCAGGUCAUAGUGAUCCGGUGGUUCUGAAUGGAAGGGCCAUCGCUCAACGGAUAAAAGGUACUCCGGGGAUAACAGGCUGAUACCGCCCAAGAGUUCAUAUCGACGGCGGUGUUUGGCACCUCGAUGUCGGCUCAUCACAUCCUGGGGCUGAAGUAGGUCCCAAGGGUAUGGCUGUUCGCCAUUUAAAGUGGUACGCGAGCUGGGUUUAGAACGUCGUGAGACAGUUCGGUCCCUAUCUGCCGUGGGCGCUGGAGAACUGAGGGGGGCUGCUCCUAGUACGAGAGGACCGGAGUGGACGCAUCACUGGUGUUCGGGUUGUCAUGCCAAUGGCACUGCCCGGUAGCUAAAUGCGGAAGAGAUAAGUGCUGAAAGCAUCUAAGCACGAAACUUGCCCCGAGAUGAGUUCUCCCUGACUCCUUGAGAGUCCUGAAGGAACGUUGAAGACGACGACGUUGAUAGGCCGGGUGUGUAAGCGCAGCGAUGCGUUGAGCUAACCGGUACUAAUGAACCGUGAGGCUUAACCUU